GAUAUCAGAUUAGCUAGCUGGUGAGGUAAAGGCUCACCAAGGCGACGUUCUGUAGCGGGUCUGAGAGGAUGAUCCGCCACACUGGAACUGAGACACGGUCCAGACUCCUACGGGAGGCAGCAGUGGGGAAUUUUGGACAAUGGGGGCAACCCUGAUCCAGCCAUGCCGCGUGAGUGAGGAAGGCCUUCGGGUUGUAAAGCUCUUUCGGCCGGGAAAAAAUCGCAUAGGUUAAUACCCUGUGUGGAUGAUGGUACCGGAAUAAGAAGCACCGGCUAACUACGUGCCCGCAGCCGCGGUAAUACGUAGGGUGCGAGCGUUAAUCGGAAUUACUGGGCGUAAAGCGUGCGCAGGCGGUUUUGUAAGACAGGCGUGAAAUCCCCGGGCUCAACCUGGGAACUGCGCUUGUGACUGCAAGGCUAGAGUACGGCAGAGGGGGGUGGAAUUCCACGUGUAGCAGUGAAAUGCGUAGAGAUGUGGAGGAACACCAAUGGCGAAGGCAGCCCCCUGGGUCGAUACUGACGCUCAUGCACGAAAGCGUGGGUAGCAAACAGGAUUAGAUACCCUGGUAGUCCACGCCCUAAACGAUGUCAACUAGGUGUUGGGUGGGUAAAACCAUUUAGUACCGUAGCUAACGCGAGAAGUUGACCGCCUGGGGAGCACGGCCGCAAGGUUAAAACUCAAAGGAAUUGACGGGGACCCGCACAAGCGGUGGAUGAUGUGGAUUAAUUCGAUGCAACGCGAAAAACCUUACCUACCCUUGACAUGUCCAGGAGCUCGAAGAGAUUUGGGUGUGCUCGAAAGAGAACUGGAACACAGGUGCUGCAUGGCUGUCGUCAGCUCGUGUCGUGAGAUGUUGGGUUAAGUCCCGCAACGAGCGCAACCCUUGCCGUUAAUUGCCAUCAUUCAGUUGGGCACUUUAACGAGACUGCCGGUGACAAACCGGAGGAAGGUGGGGAUGACGUCAAGUCCUCAUGGCCCUUAUGGGUAGGGCUUCACACGUCAUACAAUGGUCGGUACAAAGGGUUGCCAACCCGCGAGGGGGAGCUAAUCCCAUAAAGCCGAUCGUAGUCCGGAUCGUAGGCUGCAACUCGCCUGCGUGAAGUCGGAAUCGCUAGUAAUCGUGGAUCAGCAUGUCACGGUGAAUACGUUCCCGGGUCUUGUACACACCGCCCGUCACACCAUGGGAGCGGGUUCCGCCAGAAGUAGGUAGCCUAACCGCAAGGGGGGCGCUUACCA
rnacentral:rRNA from 1 species